AUUGUCCUCUGUCGCACAGGCUGUUUCACGCAAAAGACGAAACCUGAGCGGGCACGACAGUGACGACCCUGUAUACCCAGUGAAGAAACGUUUUUGGCGGGAUGUGACUACUGAGCCAUCAUAUUCUCUGAAACAGACAGUGUCUUCUGCUUGCCAGGUCGACAGCGCCACCCACGGGCUUUCAGCGCACGAGCCUCAGCCUGCCAUCACUUGAAGUCUGCCACUUGAAAUUGGCGCCA